rnacentral:misc_RNA from 1 species
AACACUGUUAACCUGCGGUACCUGCGGAAGGAUCAUUACAGAGUGUUUAACCCCCUAUAAAAUGGUGGGUCUAACCUCCCGUCCUUUGCUGGGUCCCCCUUCUGGAGGACUUUCAAGACUUUCUGCUUCGGCGGGGUAUACCCGCCGGAACACCCUCAAAAAAUUCUUGAUCAAAAUGGUUCGGUCCGAGAAACUUUUUGUGAAAAUUAGCGAAAAACUUUCAACAACGGAUCUCAGAUC